GUGGGGAAUCUUCCGCAAUGGACGAAAGUCUGACGGAGCAACGCCGCGUGAGUGAAGAAGGUUUUCGGAUCGUAAAGCUCUUUCGUUAGGGACGAACGUGCUCUUUGUGAAUAAUGAGGAGUAAUGACGGUACCUAAAUAAGAAGCCACGGCUAACUACGUGCCAGCAGCCGCGGUAAUACGUAGGUGACAAGCGUUGUCCGGAAUUAUUGGGCGUAAAGCGCGCGCAGGCGGGAUAUCAAGUCUGUCUUAAAAGUGCGAGGCUCAACCUCGUGAGGGGACAGAAACUGGUAUUCUUGAGUGUCGGAGAGGAAAGUGAAAUUCCAAGUGUAGCGGUGAAAUGCGUAGAGAUUUGGAAGAACACCAGUGGCGAAGGCGACUUUCUGGACGAUGUCUGACGCUGAGGCGCGAAAGCUAGGGGAGCGAACGGGAUUAGAAACCCUAGUAGUCC
rnacentral:rRNA from 1 species